rnacentral:rRNA from 1 species
GAUAGUCUCUCCGGAGUAAAGUUUUUCGCUUAGGGAAAGGCCUGUGAAGUAUCAGCUAGUUGGCAGUGUAAUGGACUACCAAGGCUAUGACGCUUAGGGGAGGUGAGAGCCUGACCCCCACCGAUGGGACUGAGACACGGCCCAUACACCUACGGGUGGCUGCAGUCGAGAAUCUUCCACAAUGGGCGAAAGCCUGAUGGAGCGACGCCGCGUGUAUGAAGAAGUCCUUCGGGAUGUAAAGUACUUUUCUAAGGGAGCAAUUUUGAGUGUACCUUAGGAAUAAGGGGUUGCUAAACUCGUGCCAGCAGCAGCGGUAAUACGAGUGCCCCAAGCGUUGUCCGGAAUUACUGGGCGUAAAGCGUCUGUAGGGUGUUUAAUACGUCUUCUGUCAAAUUUCGAUGCUCAACAUCGAAACCGCAGGGGAAACGAUUAGACUAGAGAGCGUGAGAGGCUGAUGGAACUUAAGGAGUAGGGGUGAAAUCCGUUGAUACCUUAGGGAACACCAAAGGCGAAGGCAUUCAGCUGGUGCGUUUCUGACUCUGAGAGACGAAAGCGUGGGGAGCGAAAAGGAUUAGAUACCCUUGUAGUCCACGCCCUAAACGAUGAUAACUUAGUGUUGGGAGUAAUCCCAGUGCUGAAGCUAACGCGAUAAGUUAUCCACCUGGGGAGUACGGUCGCAAGAUUAAAACUCAAAGGAAUAGACGGGGACCCACACAAGCAGUGGAUCACGUGGUUUAAUUCGACAAUAAACGGGGAACCUUACCCAGACUUGACAUCUAUAGAAUCUUGCGGAAACGUGAGAGUGCCCGUAAGGGAGCUAUAAGACAGGUGCUGCAUGGUUGUCGUCAGCUCGUGCCUUGAGGUGUUCGGUUAAGUCCGUUAACGAGCGCAACCCAUGUCGUUAGUUAUUAUGUCUAACGAGACUGCCUAGGUUAACUAGGAGGAAGGUGUGGAUGACGUCAAAUCAGCAUGGCUCUUACGUCUGGGGCUACACACAUGAUACAAUGGUCGGUACAAAGAGCAGCAACACUGUAAAGUGAAGCAAAUCUCCAAAAGCCGAUCUAAGUCCGGAUUGAGGUCUGAAACUCGACCUCAUGAAGUUGGAAUUGCUAGUAAUCGUGAAUCAGACAUGUCACGGUGAAUAUGUUCCUGGGUCUUGUACUCACCGCCCGUCAUGGCAUGGGAGGCAGUAAUAUUGGAAGUCCCCCUAGUAAUAUGGGGGCCCAUAGUAGGACUGCUGACUGGGCUAAAGUCGUAACAAGGUAUCCGUAGGAGAACCUGCGGAUG